rnacentral:rRNA from 1 species
CCUACGGGAGACAGCAGUGAGGAAUAUUGGUCAAUGGGCGGAAGCCUGAACCAGCCAAGUAGCGUGCAGGAUGACGGCCCUACGGGUUGUAAACUGCUUUUAUACGGGAAUAACGCGCCUUACGUGUAGGGCUUUGCAUGUACCGUAUGAAUAAGGACCGGCUAAUUCCGUGCCAGCAGCCGCGGUAAUACGGAAGGUCCGGGCGUUAUCCGGAUUUAUUGGGUUAAAAGGGAGCGUAGGCCGCUGUGCAAGCGUGCUGUGAAAUGUCCGGGCUCAACCCGGGCCUUGCAGCGGGAACGGGCGGGCUUGGGUCCGCGGAAAGCAGGCGGAAUUCGGCGUGUAGCGGGGAAAUGCUUAGAUAUGACGAAGAACCCCGAUUGCGAAGGCAGCUUGCUGCAGCGGAACUGACGCUCAUGCACGAAAGUGUGGGUAUCGAACAGGAUUAGAUACCCUGUAGUC